rnacentral:rRNA from 1 species
CCUACGGGUGGCUGCAGUGAGGACUAUUGGUCAAUGGGCGGGAGCCUGAACCAGCCAAGUCGCGUGAGGGAUGACGGCCCUAUGGGUUGUAAACCUCUUUUGCCGGGGAGCAAAGUGCCGCACGUGUGCGGUUUGGAGAUUACCCGGCGAACAAGCAUCGGAAAACUCCGUGCCAUCCGACGCGGUAAUACGGGGGAUGCGAGCGUUAUCCGGAUUUAUUGGGUUUAACGGGUGCGUAGGGGGACGCUUAAGUCAGGGGUAAAAUUGCGGGGCUCAACCUCGUCGAGCCGUUGAGACUGGGUGCCUAGAGUGGGCGAGAAGGACGCGGAAUGCGAGGUGUAGCGGUGAAAUGCAUAGAUAUCACGCAGAACUCCGAUUGCGAAGGCAGCGUACCGGCGCCCAACUGACGCUGAAGCACGAAGGCGUGGGUAGCGAACAGGAUUAGAUACCCCUGUAGUC